CCUACGGGAGGCUGCAGUGGGGAAUAUUGCACAAUGGGGGAAACCCUGAUGCAGCGACGCCGCGUGAGCGAUGAAGUAUUUCGGUAUGUAAAGCUCUAUCAGCAGGGAAGAAAAUGACGGUACCUGACUAAGAAGCCCCGGCUAACUACGUGCCAGCAGCCGCGGGAAUACGUAGGGGGCGAGAGUUAUCCGGAUUUACUGGGUGUACAGGGAGCGUAGACGGUCCUGCAAGCCAGAUGUGAAAGCCCGGGGCUCAACCCCGGGACUGCCUUUGGAACUGUAAGGCUAGAGUGUCGGAGAGGCAGGCGGAAUUCCUAGUGUAGCGGUGAAAUGCGUAGAUAUUAGGAGGAACACCAGUGGCGAAGGCGGCCUGCUGGACGAUGACUGACGUUGAGGCUCGAAAGCGUGGGGAGCAAACAGGAUUAGAUACCCUAGUAGUC
rnacentral:rRNA from 1 species